GCCGAGAUGGUCCAAUUGGCAGGGCGGCGGGCUCUGAACCCGUAAACGAAGGUUCGAAUCCUUCUCUCGGCG
rnacentral:tRNA from 1 species